UGGAAGACAAAGAAUAGUAUAAAGGAUGAAAGCUAAAUAUUAAGUAGGUCAACUCUACCAAUUGAAAAGAUAAAUUCACAUAGAUGCUUGAAAACCCAAUUUACAGUCUGUAAAGCUAAAAACUUUUUUUUUGACACUGUAAAGCUGAAAACCCAAUUUGCAGUCCCACUAUCCAAUGAAGCACGUUCAAGAAAAACACAAGAUUUCUUAUAACCAAUUUCUCAAACUAAGAACCAUGAGAUGGCAUCAAAACAUCAUGUUAGGUACAUGUUGAUGUCCACCAAACCAAUUUCUCAAGCUAAGAACCACCAAACCAAUAUCAAAAUGAAAAUUUGUAUGAAGGAUAUAUCAAAAUUUGUAAAUUACAAGUAGUUAUAAAUCUUUAUUCAAUAUAAACAACUAACACAUAUACAAAUCAAUUAUAUCUCCAUUGAAGAAACUUUAAGUCUUUAUCACAACUAACACAUAUACAAAUCAAUUAUAUCUCAGAAACAACUAUCGAUCUGAAAGCAGAACAACUAUACAUAUUAUAUCUCAGAAACAACCAAAAUACAUAGAUCCGAAACAAAAUCAAGCAAAUCGCAACAUAUAUACCGUAAAAAUCAAAUGGUAUGUACAAAAAAGGAUGAAGAAGAGUGAGAGAGAGAGAGAGAGAGAGAGAGAAGCACAAUUAUGGAGACACCUUGUUCACCAGCGGCGAUGCCUUGUUCUGGCCUCGAUCAUUGCAGAUCUGAGUUCACUUUCGCCAAGAUCAGAGGAGGGAGAUCGGCGAUGAUAGGAGGGACAGGAGGACAACGGAGGAGGAGGGAGAGGAGGACAGCGGAGGAAGGGAGAUCGGUGGUAAUAGGAGGGCUUUAGAGAUAUAUAUAUAUAUAGAGAGAGAGAGAGAGAGGGGCGAUCAAUUUGCUUGUGUGUGCGUGAGGUUGUGUAAUUGUGUUUUGGGGUUUAGUUUAUAUAUAUAUAAAGAGAGGAGUAUAAUCGUAAUUUCACAUUGGGGGAAACGGGAACGGAGACAGGGUCGGGGUCGGGGCUGGGGAACGUAUUACCGUCUCCGGUCCGAAAUUUGUCAGGGAUUCAUUUUCGAAUACCAUCCCUGGCCCAUCGGGGGUAUUUUUCGAGAAAAAAUCAUUUUAAUCGAGAUCGGAGAGCCAGGUCCCCGUUGGGUCGGGUUCAAAUUGCCAUCCCUAAUGACACACACGGUUCAUUUCAACCAGAAUAAGAAUAAGAAGAUUUCUACAGUCGUGAUUGUGUUUAAGGUCACUCUAUGCAAAACCCAACACUUCAACUUCAUAUGCCAACACAACUCACACAGGAAUUUCAUCAAACAGCUUGUGAACAUAUCACUUACCAAACACCCACUUAUCCACACAAGAAAAACUGGUUCAUAGUUCACAUCAUUCAUGCUUUUCUGAAUCAAAUAAAAACUAUAAUCGCCGAAAUUUUUCAAAAAGAAAAAAGAAGCAAUUGGUAUUAAAGAAUUUGGGAUUCGGAGAACUUUCUAGGAUUGGCACUCAGGAACCCAAGAACGAACCAGCAAACAGCAACAAAGAUUAAGUGAUCUUAGAGAAAGAGAGUGGUUAGGAGGCCUUUGUAGAGAUAGAAAACGAUGAUUGAAGCAAACCCACUUAAAUUCAAGAAAGUAACACCCAAUAACUAACUCAACUUUGUGUUUGCCCAAAAACAAAAAUACAAAUAAAUUCAACAGAAUUAAUACCCAAUUCGGGAAAUUGGGUUUCAGAUUAAUAAAAAAA